rnacentral:rRNA from 1 species
UACGUAGGGGGCGAGCGUUGUCCGGAUUCAUUGGGCGUAAAGAGCUCGUAGGCGGUUUGGCAAGUCGGGUGUGAAAACUCCAGGCUCAACCUGGAGAUGCCAUCUGAUACUGCCAUGACUUGAGUCUGGUAGGGGAGCACGGAAUUCCUGGUGUAGCGGUGAAAUGCGCAGAUAUCAGGAGGAACACCGGUGGCGAAGGCGGUGCUCUGGGCCAGUACUGACGCUGAGGAGCGAAAGCGUGGGGAGCGAACAGG